rnacentral:misc_RNA from 1 species
UUUCCGUAGGUGAACCUGCGGAAGGAUCAUUACUGAGUUAGGGUCUUUAUGGCCCGACCUCCAACCCUUUGUUUAAUCUACCAUGUUGCUUUGGCAGGCCCGCUUAGAAAUGGGCCGCCGGAGACCUUUGAGUCUCUGGUCAGUGCCUGCCAGUAGCCUUUCUAAAUUCAUUUAUAACCGUGUCUGAAUAUACAAAGAAAAAUUAAAAUAAAACCUUCAACAACGGAUCUCUUGGUUCUG